GGGACGCCUCACGGAGGAACAACUGCAACGGCACAGAAUCCCUGAUGCAGCUGCACAGCGCGUGCGGGGCCGCUUUUCCCGGGCCACGCCUGAGCCCCAGCAGCUAGCUGGGUAGCCGGGCGAGCCCCCCCACCCCCCACGCUCCGCUCCGCGCACGCGCCCUGGCCGCCCGCGAAGCCCGGGCACAGACGCCAGCGUCACCUCGCGCCGCCUCCGCCCUUCCUGCUUUCCGUUUCCUUCCCGCGCCUGCGCGGCUCCAAUUGUUUUGGCUUUCCGGUGGGGCCAAGGAAAAGGGCGCGGUGGACCCGAUGAAGGCGGGGUCCGGCCGCGGGCACCCGGGAGCCGGCAGAGCGGCUGCAGGCGCGGGCCAGGGCGCGGCGGAAGCGGCGGACGCGGGCGGUAGGCCGUGACGGCCCGACCCAGGAGGCGGGCGGAAGCGAGCGGCCCCGGGUCCCCGCAGCGCCACGCCCCCGCCGUGCGUGCGGCCGCGUGAGGACUGCAGCCCGGCGGAGCGGCGCGAAAUUGUCUUCUGUUGUGGAUGGAGAAACUGACUUCAGAAAAUGGAGUGUUAAUGGAAAAGUCUGGGUCAGUUUUCAUCAGUCAAGCCUGCAUCUCCCUUCUAUAGAGACAGUGAGUAAAGUGGAGACUACAGGAGUGGUAAUCCAAAUGCUAUCCUGUCUCAAUUCUGUACCGGCUGUUCUGUUCACAAAAUAGUUUAGGAGCUUGUCCUUAUGCUUGAGAUUACAUAGUUCGUAUCAUUAACCUGACUGACCUAUGUGCUCCUCUUCAGCUUGAGAAGGAAGAGACAUUUGGAACAGACUUCAAGUUUUAUUAGAACAGGGGAAAGUCCUGAAACUUUUUUUGGUUGUUUUGGUAACUUUAAAGGAAGCUGCUUCUGGCACCUGUUUAGUCCUCCCAAAGGAGUGACCACUUUCAAAAAGGCUUGUUCAUUGACUGUUAUCAUGGCACUGGCUUUAAUUUGUCUGCACUGACAUCAGCUAUGUCAAGGUGAAUCUUGUUGGGCUGAUAAAUUUCAUAACUUAUCAGAAAAUUCAGACAAGUCUGUGUGUCUUAAAAACUAAUUUCUCUUCACUAAAACACAACUUAAGAGCUUAGCAUGGUGGCUUGCGUGUGUGCUAUUGGCAUUGGAGAAAAUAAGGCAGGAAAGCCAAAUCAAGACAAUUCUGGGUUAUAUAGAGUGCUCCAGGACAGUCUGACCUAGAGUGAAACACUGUUUCAGAAAUAACACAAGUUUUAUCAAAAAAGAGGGAGCUGCAUUUGGGAUACUGUGACCUUGUAAGUGGACUCUGGGGCCAGUGUAGAGAUUAGGCCUUUCAGAAAGGGCUACAGAGUUUUGCCCGUGAUUGUCCUAAUCAAAAUUGUCCACAAUGUGUGCAGUGCUCUGCUUUGGGCAUUGUUGAAGUAUGAUACUCUAAUCCCUGAAAAAGCCAUGGAAGAGUUGUAUUUUUAUCCCUUUUUUAUGUAUGAGCAAACUGAGGUACAGAGUUAGUGAACUGCAGAAGACGGCUUUCCACCAAAGUAGUUUGAGUUUGUGCUUUUGCUUUUUCUGUGUGUUCGCGCCUGUACACACACACACACACACACACACACACACACACACAC
rnacentral:lncRNA from 1 species